rnacentral:rRNA from 1 species
GAUGAACGCUGGCGGCGUGCUUAACACAUGCAAGUCGAGCGAAGAUAUUUAGUGCUUGCACUGUAAUAACUUAGCGGCGGACGGGUGAGGAACACGUGAGUAAUCUGCCCUUAACAGGGGGAUAACACAAAGAAAUUUGUGCUAAUACCGCAUAAGCUCACAUAACGGCAUCGUUAAGUGAGAAAAGAUUUAUUGGUUAAGGAGGAGCUCGCGGCUGAUUAGCUAGUUGGUGGGGCAACGGCCUACCAAGGCGACGAUCAGUAGCCGGCCUGAGAGGGUGAACGGCCACAUUGGAACUGAGACACGGUCCAA